GCGAACGCUGGCGGCAGGCCUAACACAUGCAAGUCGAACGAACCUUUCGGGGUUAGUGGCGGACGGGUGAGUGACACGUGGGAACGUGCCUUUAGGUUCGGAAUAACUCAGGGAAACUUGUGCUAAUACCGAAUGUGCCCUUCGGGGGAAAGAUUUAUCGCCUUUAGAGCGGCCCGCGUCUGAUUAGCUAGUUGGUUGAGGUAAUGGCUCACCAAGGCGACGAUCAGUAGCUGGUCUGAGAGGAUGAUCAGCCACAUUGGGACUGAGACACGGCCCAAACUCCUACGGGAAGCAGCAGUGGGGAAUCUUGCGCAAUGGGCGAAAGCCUGACGCAGCCAUGCCGCGUGAAUGAUGAAGGUCUUAGGAUUGUAAAAUUCUUUCACCGGGGACGAUAAUGACGGUACCCGGAGAAGAAGCCCCGGCUAACUUCGUG
rnacentral:rRNA from 1 species